rnacentral:tRNA from 1 species
GGAGAGAUGUCCGAGCUGGUCUAAGGAGCACGCCUGGAGAGCGUGUAGUCCAGAAAUGGACUCCUGGGUUCGAAUCCCAGUCUCUCCG